GUUUCUGUAGUGUAGUGCUUAUCACGUUCGCCUAACACGCGAAAGGUCCCCGGUUGGAAACCGGGCAGAAACA
rnacentral:tRNA from 1 species